UGUGAAAGAGAACCACACCAUCUAGAAUAGGAGAGAUGGAAGGAAGAGUUGGAAUAAGAGCUUAUGGCCAAGUCUUUUUCUACAAUAUCACUGACUGUCCUUGAAAAUCUGUGGAUGGAGUCCCCAGAGAGUGGAGCGAUAGUUGGAGAAACAGAAUUUCCUCAAGACAGGAGUUAACGGGUGCUGCCGUGAAGAUAAAGUACUAUAGGACAGGGCAACUCUGAACACGGGCUCUGCCCAGACCCAGUCCUUCCAUGCUGAAGCAAACUUUCAAAAAGUGCCCCCUGACUGCCAGGCCUGUCACCCCAGCCUCUGCAGCUGUGUUCCAGAGCCGACUUUAUGUAAAUGCUGGAGGGAGCUGCUCAGCACUUUUCCCCCCGGCCUGGUGACUUCCGCUGCCCAACAGUACUGCCAAAUCUGUCCCCAGCAGCUGCGGCACCUCGUGGCCACCAUGUGGUCGAACUCCCUGGGCCUCAGCUCCCAGCCGCUGGCCAGUCCAGUCUCCCUGUGCCCUGGACACCCGUGACAGUGAGCUGCCCAGGCAGCAGGAAGAGCUCUGGGUCCUCGCUUGCUACUCUGUGUGGCUCUGGAAGGGACUUCGCCCAGCCGCUGGGGCCGGUCAGGAGUGAGGGGAGGGUGUCAGGCUCUGGAGAUGGAGGUGGCGGGU